rnacentral:rRNA from 1 species
AGUCGAUGGGAAACAGGUUAAUAUUCCUGUACUUGGUGUUACUGCGAAGGGGGGACGGAGAAGGCUAUGUUGGCCGGGCGACGGUUGUCCCGGUUUAAGCGUGUAGGCUGGUUUUCCAGGCAAAUCCGGAAAAUCAAGGCUGAGGCGUGAUGACGAGGCACUACGGUGCUGAAGCAACAAAUGCCCUGCUUCCAGGAAAAGCCUCUAAGCAUCAGGUAACAUCAAAUCGUACCCCAAACCGACACAGGUGGUCAGGUAGAGAAUACCAAGGCGCUUGAGAGAACUCGGGUGAAGGAACUAGGCAAAAUGGUGCCGUAACUUCGGGAGAAGGCACGCUGAUAUGUAGGUGAAGUCCCUCGCGGAUGGAGCUGAAAUCAGUCGAAGAUACCAGCUGGCUGCAACUGUUUAUUAAAAACACAGCACUGUGCAAACACGAAAGUGGACGUAUACGGUGUGACGCCUGCCCGGUGCCGGAAGGUUAAUUGAUGGGGUCAGCGCAAGCGAAGCUCUUGAUCGAAGCCCCGGUAAACGGCGGCCGUAACUAUAACGGUCCUAAGGUAGCGAAAUUCCUUGUCGGGUAAGUUCCGACCUGCACGAAUGGCGUAAUGAUGGCCAGGCUGUCUCCACCCGAGACUCAGUGAAAUUGAACUCGCUGUGAAGAUGCAGUGUACCCGCGGCAAGACGGAAAGACCCCGUGAACCUUUACUAUAGCUUGACACUGAACAUUGAGCCUUGAUGUGUAGGAUAGGUGGGAGGCUUUGAAGUGUGGACGCCAGUCUGCAUGGAGCCGACCUUGAAAUACCACCCUUUAAUGUUUGAUGUUCUAACGUGGACCCGUGAUCCGGGUUGCGGACAGUGUCUGGUGGGUAGUUUGACUGGGGCGGUCUCCUCCUAAAGAGUAACGGAGGAGCACGAAGGUUGGCUAAUCCUGGUCGGACAUCAGGAGGUUAGUGCAAUGGCAUAAGCCAGCUUGACUGCGAGCGUGACGGCGCGAGCAGGUGCGAAAGCAGGUCAUAGUGAUCCGGUGGUUCUGAAUGGAAGGGCCAUCGCUCAACGGAUAAAAGGUACUCCGGGGAUAACAGGCUGAUACCGCCCAAGAGUUCAUAUCGACGGCGGUGUUUGGCACCUCGAUGUCGGCUCAUCACAUCCUGGGGCUGAAGUAGGUCCCAAGGGUAUGGCUGUUCGCCAUUUAAAGUGGUACGCGAGCUGGGUUUAGAACGUCGUGAGACAGUUCGGUCCCUAUCUGCCGUGGGCGCUGGAGAACUGAGGGGGGCUGCUCCUAGUACGAGAGGACCGGAGUGGACGCAUCACUGGUGUUCGGGUUGUCAUGCCAAUGGCACUGCCCGGUAGCUAAAUGCGGAAGAGAUAAGUGCUGAAAGCAUCUAAGCACGAAACUUGCCCCGAGAUGAGUUCUCCCUGACCCUUUAAGGGUCCUGAAGGAACGUUGAAGACGACGACGUUGAUAGGCCGGGUGUGUAAGCGCAGCGAUGCGUUGAGCUAACCGGUACUAAUGAACCGUGAGGCUUAACCUU